rnacentral:misc_RNA from 1 species
CUUGUUCCUACAUGACCUGAUCAAUUCGAUCAGGCACUCGCCAUCUAUUUUCAUAGUUCAACUCUUUGACAACACGAAAAAACCAUUGUUCAACUCUUUGACAACAUGAAAAAACCAAAAAUUCUGCCCUUCUAUCCAAAGGAUGGAGGGGCGGAGGCCUUUGGUGUCCACUCCAGUCAAGAAUUGGAGCCUCACAAUCACUAGCCAAUAUGCUUUUCUCGCAUGCCUUUCUUCGUUCAUGGUUCGA